UACGAAGGGGGCUAGCGUUGCUCGGAAUCACUGGGCGUAAAGCGCACGUAGGCGGAUUGCUAAGUCAGGGGUGAAAUCCCGGGGCUCAACCUCGGAAUUGCCUUUGAUACUGUCUGUCUUGAGUCCGGGAGGGGUGAGUGGAAUUCCUAGUGUAGAGGUGAAAUUCGUAGAUAUUAGGAAGAACACCAGUGGCGAAGGCGGCUCACUGGCCCGGUACUGACGCUCAUGUGCGAAAGCGUGGGGAGCAAACAGG
rnacentral:rRNA from 1 species